UCCGCUAUUAGUCUGGUGGGCUUCCCUUUGUGGAAAACCCGACCUUUCUCUCUGGCUGCCCUUAACAGUUUUUCCUUCAUUUCAACUUUGGUGAAUCUGACAAUUAUGUGUCUUGGAGUUGCUCAUCUCGAGGAGUAACUUCAUAGUGUUCUCUGUAUUUCUUGAAUUUGAAUGUUGGCCUGUCUUGCUAGGUUGGGGAAGUUCUCCUGGAUAAUAUCCUGUAGAGUGUUUUCCAACUUGGUUCCAUUCUCCCCAU
rnacentral:lncRNA from 10 species